AUAGGGUGCGGUUAGCAGUUAUGAACUGAGCCCUUUGGAAGCUAGCGCUGGGUGUAGUCAGAGUAGGAGGGACUUAACCAGUUUGUUUGGAAGGGUACAAAGGAGCACUUGCACCUGUAGGGAACCUGAUGAGCUAAUUAACUGACCAGCUGGGUAUCUCUGAGAAGAAAGCAAGCAGUAUAAAAGGCUGAGCAAGGGAGCAAGAAGGCAGCUCUAUAUCACGUUGUGAUGUACCUGGAGCAUAAACAGCAAUAAAGACGCAUGGUGGUGGUUUCCUGCUGAACUGUGCAUGCUGAGUUCGGAAAGAAGGCUUAGCAGCCAGGUUUUACAGGAGCUACAGGGGGAGCCUGUUUCCAAAGAGUCUCAAGCAGAAUUUUGGUUUAAAAAAAAAAAAAGAACUUUCUCAUGACUGGAUAAUGGCAUGAAGAACUCUAUUUAUUGCUUUGGAAGGCUUCUAUGGAAUGGAAGGCUAAGGAGAUCACUGGCUGGACCACAAACUUUGCCAGGAUGCUGCCAUGUAAUGGAAUCGCUAUAGAUCAGGCCUCUCAACAGUCUGGUUCAAGCAAUGCACAAAGUGGGGUACUGGAUGAACAGAAACAGCAAGGUGAAGGUGGAGACCGUGGAAAUAGAUGAAGAAAAGCAACCAGAUGAAUCAUGUGAUUCCAAUCUAAUGACUUCCACAGAUAGUUGAGUAAUGUCACCACCAGGCACAGAGGAAGGUUUUCAAGAAGCAGGAGAGAGUAGUGCUGCACUACUUACUGAUUCAUGUUUUUUAAGCAUCAGGAUUGUGGACUAAACACAGAACAGUUUUUUGGCAAACAAAAUCUGGAAUAUCUGGUGUACCGGCUUCUGAAGACUUACAACAAAAAACUACAACUAAUUUUCAGUGAAGUGUGCACAUCUGUAGGAUUUUUUUGCAUGUUGCUAGUGAGUGUGGCACAAACCGAAAGCAGUGGCAGCUAAAUGACACUCAUCAAAAACUGCAAAUGACCUACUAUGGCACAGAAACACUUAAAUCAUCUUGCUGUUUUGUCUGUGUGUGAACCUGUAAGAAAAUAUUAUUUUAGGGAGGUCACUUAUGACUUUGCAAUGAAAAAGGCCAGAAAUGUGAAGUUAUAAGUGAUAAGGCCUGUCCAUGCCAUUUCAGAAAUAAAAUAUAUUUUUCUUUCAUUAA